AGAAGAAAUGAAUGAACCUAUAAAAUAAACUUUGCUUACUUUGCAGGACAGCUUCUGGAGUUGAGGGUGUUGAUUGACUUGCUGAUUGAGUUGUAGACACAAGUUGAGUUGUUGUCAGUUGAGAGGUAAAUGUUGGUGUUGCUGUUCGAGUUGUAGAUGUUAAUGCACUUGAUUUCAAUGUUGAUGCAGUUGAUGUAGUUUGAGCUGUUGAUGUUGAUCCAGUUGAUGUCACUGCUGGCACAGUUGAUAUUGUUGAUAGAGUGGUAGAUGUUGGUGCAGUUAAUGUUAAGGUUGGUGCUGUUGAUAUUGAGGAUGGUACAGUUGUUGUUACUAGAGUGGUAGAUGUUGGUGCAGCAGUUGUUGGUAGAGUGGUAGAUGUUGGUGCAGUUGUUGUUGAUAGAGUGGUGAAUGUUGGUGCAGUUGUUGUUGAUGGAGUAGUAGAUGUUGGUGCAGCUGAUGUUGAGGUUGGUGCAGUUGUUGUUGAUGGAGUGGUAGAUGUUGGUGCAGUUGAUGUUGGGGUUGGUGCAGCAGUUGUUGAUGAUAGAGUGGUAGUUGGUGCAGUUGUUGAUAGAGUGGUGGAUGUUUGUGCAGUUGUUGCUGAGGUUGGUGCAGCAGUUGUUGGUAGAGUGGUAUAUGUUGGUGCAGGUGAUGUUGAUGUUAGUACAGUUGAUGUUGAGGAUGGUACGUUUGUUGUAACUACAGUGGUAGAUGUUGGUGCAGUUGAUCUUAAGGUGAGUGCAGCAGUUGCUGAUGAAGAGGUAGAUGUUGGUUUAGUUGUUGUUGAUAGAGUGGUGGAUAUUGGUGCAGUUGUUGUUGAUAGAGUGAUGGAUGUUGGUGCAGGUGUUGCUGAGGUUGGUGCAGUUGUUGAUGGAGUGGUAGAUGUUGGUACAGUUGUUGUUGGUGCAGUUGAUGUUGGUGCAGAAGUUGUUGGUAGGGUGGUGGAUGUUGGUGAAGUUGUUGUUGAAAGAGUGGUGGAUGUUGGUGCAGUUGUUGCUGAGGUUGGUGCAGUUGUUGUCGAUGGAGUGGUAGAUGUCAGUACAGUUGAUGUUGAGGUUGGCGCAGCAGUUGUUGGUAGAGUGGUAGAUGUUAGUAAAGUUGAUGUUGAUGGAGUGGUAGAUGUUGGUGCUGUUGAUGCUGAGGUUGGUGCAGUUGUUGAUAUUGUGGUAGAUGUUGCUGAGGUUGGUGCAGUUGAGGUUGGUGCAGCAGUUGUUGGUAGAGUGCUAGAUGUUGGUGCAGUUGUUAGUGCAGCAGUUAUUGAUAGAGUGGCGGAUGUUUGUGCAGUUGUUGUUGUGGUUGGUAGUCUGUUAGAUGUUGGUGGAAUUGAUGUUGAGGUUGGUGCAGUUGUUGGUGAUAGAGUGGUGGAUGUUGCUGCAGUUGAUAUUGAGGUUGGAGCAGCAGUUGUUUGUAGAGUGAUAAAUGUUGGAGCAGUUGUUGUUAGAGUGGUGGAUGUUUCUGCAGUUGAUGUUGAGGUUGGUGCAGUUGUUGUUGAUGGAGUAGUAGAUGUUGAGGUUGGUGCAGUUGUUGUUGAUGGAGUGCAAGAUGUUGGUGCAGUUGAUGUUGAGGUUGGUGCAGCAGUUGUUGGUAGAGUGGUAGAUGUUGGUACAGUAGUUGUUGAUGGAGUGGUAGAUGUUGGUGCAGCAGUUGUUGACAGAGUGGUUGAUGUUGGUACAGUAGUUGUUGAUGGAGUGGUAUAUGUUGGUGCAGCAGUUGUUGGUAGAGUGGUAGAUGUUGGUGCAGCAGUUGUUGAUGGAGUGGUAGAUGUUGGUGCAGUUGAUUGUGAGGUUGGUGCAGCAGUUGUUGGUAGAGUGGUAGAUGUUGGUGCAGCAGUUGUUGAUGGAGUGGUAGAUGUUGGUGCAGUUGAUUGUGAGGUUGGUGCAGCAGUUGUUGGUAGAGUGGUUGAUGUUGGUGCAGUAGUUGUUGAUGUAGUGGUAGAUGUUGGUGCGGUUGAUGCUGAGGUGGUUUCAGUUGUUGUUGACAGAGUGGUUGAUGUUGG
ensembl:lncRNA